GACGAACGCUGGCGGCGUGCUUAACACAUGCAAGUCGAACGGUGAAGCGCCUUCCUUUUUGGUGGGUGUGGAUGAGUGGCGAACGGGUGAGUAACACGUGAGUAACCUGCCCCCUUCUUCUGGAUAACCGCAUGAAAGUGUGGCUAAUACGGGAUAUUCUGGGUCUGUCGCAUGAUGGGUCUGGGAAAGAUAUUGUUUCGGUGGGGGAUGGGCUCGCGGCCUAUCAGCUUGUUGGUGGGGUGAUGGCCUACCAAGGCGGUGACGGGUAGCCGGCCUGAGAGGGUGGACGGCCACACUGGGACUGAGACACGGCCCAGACUCAUACGGGAGGCAGAAGUGGGGAAUAUGGCACAAUGGGCGCAAGCCUGAUGCAGCGACGCCGCGGGAGGGAUGGAGGCCUUCGGGUUGUGAACCUCUUUCGCCAGUGAAGCAGGCCUGCCUCGUUUGUGGGUGGGUUGACGGUAGCUGGAUAAGAAGCGCCGGCUAACUACGUG
rnacentral:rRNA from 1 species